rnacentral:rRNA from 1 species
AUGGCUUCACCUUCAUGCGUUCGUCUUCUGAUGCUACUCCUACUCCUAACCGCCGUCGUCGCCCGCCCACUUUUUGACGCCCAUGCCGUCAGCGACGAGAUGAUUCAGCCCCUGCGGCCAUCCGUGAUCUCGUGCUCCACUGCUGGCAACUACAGCGACGGGAGCCAGUACCACGUGAGCCUCGAUCGGCUUCUGUCGUCCAUCCCUAUGGCCGCCGCCAACGCCGGCGGCUUCUUCAACGGCAGGCUAGGGGCGGCAGACGACGAGGUCUUCGGCCUCUUCAUGUGCUAUGCUGGAGACACCGACGAGGAGUGCCAAGACUGCCUCACCCGCGCACCCAAGGGCACCGAAGGGUACCGAAGGGUUCACGCCGUCUACAACGCCUGCACCCUUCGGUACUCCAGUGAGUCCUCCUUCUCCGUCGCCGACCUCUCCAUCACCAACCUUGCCGUCGCGCCCUACGUGGUGGAUUGA